GACUCUGAAAAUCCCAUUAGAUCAAACACAUAUAGUAAGUAUUUUAUUUGCUUAUUAAGACAUGGUGCUGCUAUGUAGCCUUGACUGGAACUCACUCUGUAGGGCAGGCUUUCCAAAGCUCAGAGAGUCACCUCCUUCUGCCUCUCAAGUGCUGGGAUGAGAGGCGUGUGCGGCCAUAGCUGACUGUAGAGUUGAAUUUUUAUUUCUCUUGGCACCACUCCAUUGAAACUACUGUCACUUUAAGCAUUUAUGGGGCGUCAGGUUACGCUGUUCAGGGCAGUCCCAUGUUUUGCCUUAAGGUCACCUUCAGCUUUAUUCAAGGCACAGUCACCUGAAGCAAAGGGACAGCAUUUUAGUGGCAGGAUUCAGCUAAACCAGUCAGAACCAGUGGCCCAAAGGACACCAACAGGCUACACUUUUAUACCUAUCCAUCUCUGUACAUCCCAAACAAUGAGAAAUCUUUGCUGGCCAAUGCUUCUUGUCGGAGGUAGUUAACAGCAGGAGACUUAACAAGGCUCUCUGGCAAGGAGUGGGGGUCCUGAGCUCACCAUCUCAAAGGCUCACAUUCACCAAGCGUCAGUAUUUUCAGUAUGAAGGAGUGUCUAUAACCCUACUAAUCACCACGGGCUAAAUGUAGUAGCCAAUCCUCACACCUUCCUUGAGAGGUAAGUAUUCCUAUGGUACUGAUAGAGAUGGGGAAGCAAUAUUGAGAAGCACGCAGGCAACCUCAA
rnacentral:lncRNA from 1 species